AAGGCAAGAAGGAAGCUGAGAAAGCUACUCAGCUUCCACAGAGAACUUGUGGUUCAAAGUCUACUUCAGAUAAGGCCGCUGGGUAUAAUGGUGUACACAGAGCUUCUUCAAGGGCAAGUUCAAGAGCCGCAGGGAACAAGGACGAGGGAGACCCUCCCAGAGACAGAAACAAUACCCAGUCAAAGAAUUUUCCCCAAACCCAGGGCUACUCAUUGGAAAAGACCCUGGUGGUGGGAAAGAUUAAGGGCAGGAGGACGAGGGGGCGACGGAGGCUGAGAUGAUUGGAUGGCAUCACCGACUUAAUGGACAUGAGUUUGAGCAAAGUCCGGGAGAUGGUAAAGGACAGAGAAGUUUGGUGUCUACAGUCCACAGGGGUCACAAAGACUUGGACAUGGCAUUGAAAAACAACAAAUUUGUCAUCAGGCAAUUUUACUGUAAAAGACAAAACAGUGCAAAAUGAAAGAGGGACAUUAAAAAGGACACCCUGAAACAUGAAAACUGAAUAACAAACUCCAACUAAAAAAACUUUAUCGCAAAAUACAAAACAUCUGAAUAAAUUGGACAGGUGUGUAAGUUUGUGACAAAACUGCGCAAAUAAGUUAUUUUGGGAUUGUGCCUAAACCCUCGUCUUUCAUAGUGUCCUGUACGUCUUUCAUAGCAUCAUACAUUUUUCUGCUUGUUGAUUUGUAUUCUCAUUAUACUUUUUUUCCCCUUUUUCCCUAAAAUUUCUUUUUUCAAGGGAGGUGUCAGUUUCCAGACGCUGGGAUGUGUGUUUGUAACAGCUCCAUCCUGCAUUGGGAAAGCCAAUGUACUGUUUUUGUUCUUGGUGUGUUGCCAUAUCCGGGUUGAUAGAUGUUCUAUGGGAAAUGUGGGUUCAACUCUGCACCUUUAAGGCCCUCAGCCUCUUUUUCCUCCAACAUAGUAUAUUUAAAAAUAAGAAACCAGCUGUUGGGGAACUCCUUGGCGGCCCAGUGUCUAGGACUCUGCUUUCACUGCUGAGGGCACUCAAGUUCAACUCCUGGUUGGGGAACAAAGAUCCCACAAGCUUCGAGUGGGGGAGAAGAAAAAACAUCCCAGCUCUUGGAGCCAAUCAUUGUCAUCUAUCAGCUCGAUAAAUCCAUCAGUUAACAUCAUUAACUGGAAGAAAUACUAACACAUUUCAGCCAAUUGAAACCGAAGUAUUAACCAGUUACAGGAAGUCCCCUACAUAUGAACUGUCAAGUUGUAAACUUGUCAAAGAAGCAGACGUGCCUCUGUAUGCCAGCUGUUGUACUAUUGUACUUUCCAAGAUACUCUACUG
ensembl:lncRNA